UUCGCAAUGCCCGAAAGGGUGACGAAGCGACGCCGCGUGCGGGAAGAAGGCCCUCGGGUUGUAAACCGCUGUCGGGAGUUAAGAAAUGCAAGGGUGUUAACAGCAUCCUUGCUUGACUAAGGCUCCGGAGGAAGCCACGGCUAACUCUGUGCCAGCAGCCGCGGUAAUACAGAGGCGGCAAGCGUUGUUCGGAAUUAUUGGGCGUAAAGAGCACGUAGGCGGCUGUGUAAGUCGGUUGUGAAAGCCUUCCGCUUAACGGAAGAAUGCCAGCUGAUACUACAGGGCUUGAGUACGGGAGGGGAGAGUGGAACUUCUGGUGGAGCGGUGAAAUGCGUAGAUAUCAGAAGGAACGCCGGCGGCGAAAGCGACUCUCUGGCCCGAAACUGACGCUGAGUGUGCGAAAGCUAGGGGAGCAAACGGGAUUAGAUACCCCGGUAGUCCUAGCCGUAAACGAUGGGCACUAAGUAGAGGGGUUUU
rnacentral:rRNA from 1 species